GACGAACGCUGGCGGCGUGCCUAAUACAUGCAAGUCGAACGCACUCUCGUUUUAGAUUGAAGGAGUUUGCUCCUGAUUGAUAAACAUUUGAGUGAGUGGCGGACGGGUGAGUAACACGUGGGUAACCUGCCCUAAAGUGGGGGAUAACAUUUGGAAACAGAUGCUAAUACCGCAUAAAACCUAACACCGCAUGGUGUAGGGUUGAAAGAUGGUUUCGGCUAUCACUUUAGGAUGGACCCGCGGUGCAUUAGUUAGUUGGUGAGGUAAAGGCUCACCAAGACCGUGAUGCAUAGCCGACCUGAGAGGGUAAUCGGCCACACUGGGACUGAGACACGGCCCAGACUCCUACGGGAGGCAGCAGUAGGGAAUCUUCCACAAUGGACGAAAGUCUGAUGGAGCAACGCCGCGUGAGUGAAGAAGGUGUUCGGAUCGUAAAACUCUGUUGUUGGAGAAGAAUGUAUCUGAUAGUAACUGAUCAGGUAGUGACGGUAUCCAACCAGAAAGCCACGGCUAACUACGUG
rnacentral:rRNA from 1 species